rnacentral:misc_RNA from 1 species
GUGAAUCAUCGAAUCUUUGAACGCAAAUUGCACUCUCCUCGGAGAGUAUGCCUGUUUGAGGGUCAGCCUAAAAAAAAAAAUCGACAUCGUUGCUGUUUCGCGGUGACGUUAUUCGGAAAUUGGGUAAUUUUAAACCUUUUGGUUUUUAAGGGAUUUAAAAUUUUUUUUUGACCCCAUGAACGUUUCUAAUUUUUAUAUCUUUACACGUUUAAGGGUAUCGAUUUUAUUAGAAGGAGCCGUAAUAA